CAUCCAGCAGCGAUGUCUGGUGGUAGCUCUUCACCCUGCCGUUGAAAUAGAUAUCUCAAAGCAAUCUCCAUCGCCUGUCUCUAUUUCUUCUCUACUGCUGUUUCAUCCUCCAUCGCCUUCCUUUUCAACUUCUCAGCUUCCAACUCUGCCUAUAGUUCAAGCAGCUUCCUCUGUGUUUUCUCUAAUAAUAUUCAAAUCU